CGUAGUUACAGCUCUUUUUCUCUCGAACCGACCUUUGCAUAUCUUUCUCUCUCUUCCACAUACGCACAUCUGUUUAUCAUCAUGUUCAAGUGCGCGACUCGCUGCCUUCUGGACACCAAGACGGUGCCGCUGAAGCCGCAGCGCCCAUUCAAGCUACACACGGCUGGCCGCACCGACAUGGCACCACUUCCGACGCAGGCGGCGUACGACGCAGAGCAGCUGAAGAAGAGUCUUGCCCUGAUGUUCCGCAUCCGCCGCAUGGAGUCUCUGUGCGAUCAGUCCUACAAGCUAAAGAAGAUUCGCGGCUUCUGCCACCUCUACAUCGGGCAGGAGGCCAUUCCGGCUGGCAUGGAGAACGUUCUGACCUUCGAGGACCCCAUCGUCACUGGCUACCGCGAUCACGGCUGGUACAUCUCUCGCGGUGGCAAGCCCGAGGAUGUCUUCGCUGAAAUGUUCGGCCGUCAGGGCGGCUGCAGCAAGGGCAAGGGUGGCUCGAUGCACAUGUACAAGGUGGGUAACGGCUUCUACGGCGGUAAUGGCAUCGUGGGUGCGCAGGUCUCGAUCGGCGCUGGCCUUGCCUGGCGCUUCGCGAUGGAGAACCGCGACAGCCCGAAGCACGUUGCGGUCACCUUCUACGGCGACGGUGCUGCCAACCAGGGCCAGAUCUACGAGUCCAUGAACAUUGCCGCUCUGCAGCGCCUCCCCGUCAUCUUCGCAGUGGAGAACAACCACUUCGGUAUGGGCACUAGCGCCGCUCGCGGCUCCUAUCAGGCGGAGUUUUACCGCCGUGGUGACUACAUCCCUGGUAUCAAGGUCGAUGGCAUGGACGUGCUCGCGGUGCAGGAGGGCACCCGCUACGCACGCGACCACUGCAUGUCGGGCAAGGGCCCGAUUGUGAUGGAGCUGGACUGCUACCGCUACAUGGGUCAUAGCAUGUCGGACCCCGACAACCAGUACCGCACCAAGAGCGACAUCCAGCACGUGAAGCAGGAGCGUGACUGCAUUCGCAAGAUGCGCGAGUUCAUGGCGACCGAGGGCAUCAUGACCGAGGACGAGAUGAGCAAGAUGGAGAAAGACGUGAAGAAGGAGGUGGACCAGGACCUGCAGAAGGCCCAGAAACAACCUAUGACAAAGUUGGAUGAGCUCUUCACGGACAUCUACGUGGGUGAGCAGUACGAGCACCGCACCUGCCAGGGUACCGUGUACCACAAGCCCUAAUCAGGCAAGACGGAUAGUAAAGUGAGGCCGAGGAGGCAUGCCUCAAGAUGUGUGCGUGACGCCUUGCGUGCCACGCUCUCUCGCUCUGUGUGUGUGUCUGUGCCUUGGUCUGUACUUCCUCACGCCUUGCUGGUUCGCCUUUGUUGUCCUUGUUGGCGUGGCGAUGGCGCUGUGUGUACGUGCUUGUCUCUAUAUGUUUUUUUUUUUAAUACGCAUAGCCUCGAACACGCACACAUACGGAUGUGUGCUCCCCGCCUCACGUCGUGCAACCCUCACUCCUCCAUCAACGUCGUCGCGUCUUCUCUGUGCGGUGCCUACACGAAGCAACAACAGCGAAACAGAGGAAACAGACGAAGCGAACGACGGCAACUUUUUUUUUCCCGCAUCUAUGUGAGUGUUUGCGGACGCGUGCCCCUGAGACAGCGAGAAGAGCAAAUACGCCUUGUGAGCAGAGGGGUGGGUAGGAGUGGGGGGUGCGCACGUAUGUGCACAUACAGCCCCAAUCCGCGUAUGCCUAUCACGUGCGCGUCACGCCUUACCCGCACACACACACACACACACACACACAAGCGAACAAGAUUGUAACGAAUGUAUUUUUUCUUUUCGUUUCGUUCCCCUUUUUUCUCAAGCGCGCGUGGGUGUGUCCUCAAGCGCUCUCCGUCGAACACCCGCCCCUCCCGCGAAGGUGACCG
rnacentral:misc_RNA from 1 species